rnacentral:rRNA from 1 species
UAGGGAAUCUUCCGCAAUGGACGAAAGUCUGACGGAGCAACGCCGCGUGAGUGAAGAAGGAUUUCGGUUCGUAAAACUCUGUUGUUAGGGAAGAAAAAAUGUAUAGUAACUAUAUACAAAAGAGACGGUACCUAACCAGAAAGCCACGGCUAACUACGUGCCAGCAGCCGCGGUAAUACGUAGGUGGCAAGCGUUGUCCGGAAUUAUUGGGCGUAAAGCGCGCGCAGGUGGUUUAGAAAGUCUGAUGUGAAAGCCCACGGCUCAACCGGGGAGGGUCAUUGGAAACUAAUAAACUUGAGUGCAGGAGAGAAAAGUGGAAUUCCUAGUGUAGCGGUGAAAUGCGUAGAGAUUAGGAGGAACACCGGUGGCGAAAGCGGCUUUUUGGCCUGCAACUGACACUGAGGCGCGAAAGCGUGGGGAGCAAACAGG